rnacentral:rRNA from 1 species
GAUGAACGCUGGCGGCGUGCCUAAUACAUGCAAGUCGAGCGAACAGACGAGGAGCUUGCUCCUCUGACGUUAGCGGCGGACGGGUGAGUAACACGUGGAUAACCUACCUAUAAGACUGGGAUAACUUCGGGAAACCGGAGCUAAUACCGGAUAAUAUAUUGAACCGCAUGGUUCAAUAGUGAAAGACGGUUUUGCUGUCACUUAUAGAUGGAUCCGCGCCGCAUUAGAUAGUUGGUAAGGUAACGGCUUACCAAGGCAACGAUGCGUAGCCGACCUGAGAGGGUGAUCGGCCACACUGGAACUGAGACACGGUCCAGACUCCUACGGGAGGCAGCAGUAGGGAAUCUUCCGCAAUGGGCGAAAGCUUGACGGAGCAACGCCGCGUGAGUGAUGAAGGUCUUCGGAUCGUAAAACUCUGUUAUUAGGGAAGAACAAAUGUGUAAGUAACUAUGCACGUCUUGACGGUACCUAAUCAGAAAGCCACGGCUAACUACGUG